CAAGACAGAGGGUUGAUGCCCAGAGAGGAGCCAUGUUGAGGAUACUACACAAAAUGGAAUGUGGACACGGGAAGAUUUGGCUAUUUUGGGUAACUGAGACCUGAUCCUGUGAGGGAAGAAAAGUUUUUCAUGCAUACGGUGGUGAUCAGAGAAAAGACCGGAUUCUAUUUCUUGUACCAUCCACAGGCAGGAAUGCCACCUUGUUAGGCGAAAUUGCAGAUACAGAAACAGAUGCACAUGAUGACAUUUUAGAAAACAUAAUCAAAAGGGCAGCUUUGCAUAUUACGGAGGAGGGUCGACAAAG